GAUGAAGAACGUAGCGAAAUGCGAUACGUAGUGUGAAUUGCAGAAUUCAGUGAAUCAUCGAAUCUUUGAACGCACAUUGCACCUCUCGGUAUUCCGGGAGGUAUGCCUGUUCGAGCGUCAUUUGUACCCUCAAGCUCAGCUUGGUGUUGGGUGUUUGUUCCGCCUCUGUGUGUGAACUCGCCUCAAAACAAUUGGCAGCCGGCGUACUUGUUUCGGAGCGCAGCACAUUUUGCGAUCCAGAUCAACGUACAGCGGCAUCCAAGAAGCCUUAUUUAACGCUCUUGACCUCGGAUCAGGUAGGGAUACCCGCUGAACUUAAGCAUAUCAAUAAGCGGAGGA
rnacentral:misc_RNA from 1 species